rnacentral:tRNA from 2 species
GGCGGCAUAGCUCAGUUGGUAGAGCAAGCGGCUCAUAUCCGCUAGGUCAGGGGUCCGAGUCCCUUUGCCGCUA